AUUGAACGCUGGCGGAAUGCUUUACACAUGCAAGUCGAGCGGCAGCGCGGGGGCAACCCUGGCGGCGAGCGGCGAACGGGUGAGUAAUACAUCAGAACGUGUCCUUCAAGUGGGGGAUAGCUCGGCGAAAGCCGGAUUAAUACCGCAUAAGCUCUGAGGAGGAAAGCGGGGGACCGGUAACGGCCUCGCGCUGUUGGAGCGGCCGAUGUCGGAUUAGCUAGUUGGGGGGUAAAGGCCCACCAAGGCGACGAUCCGUAGCUGGUCUGAGAGGAUGAUCAGCCACACUGGAACUGAGACACGGUCCAGACUCCUACGGGAGGCAGCAGUGGGGAAUUUUGGACAAUGGGGGCAACCCUGAUCCAGCCAUUCCGCGUGAGUGAAGAAGG
rnacentral:rRNA from 1 species